GAAGAAGAUGGCCCCAGCACUAUUGAAGUUAAAGUGGAAAGCUCCAGGAGAAGAAGUUCCAAGUGUGUGAUGAAGGACAGGCAGGUGAGAGGACAACAGAAUGGUUCCUUGUUUCCAGGAGGUAGAUUCCAGGUGUGGAAGAGAGACUGACAACACGUGUUUCCUCCGAGGAGUUUGAGCGGGAUCCAACAGAGUGAACAUGGAGCACAGGAGUAUCAAAGUAGGACACCAAUAUCAGAGAGGAAUCCUGCAGAAGAAGAAGCAGAGACUCAGGAAGGACUUGAGAACAAAGGGUAUUCAGAACAUAGAGAACAUGGGCCAGAUUACAACUCUGAGUGAGCUAAAGGUCUGACACCUCCCUCUAGGUUCCAGCUCCUUAUGAUCACCUCCUGGUUAGUCCUCAUGAACCACACCUGUGGAGCUGCACCUGCCAAUCACACCCUCUGCAGGGGUGUCAAACUCCAGUCCUUGAGGGCCGGAGCCCUUGAACUUUUAGUUGGUCCAUGGUCCAACACAUACAAGCCACUGCUUUACUUCAUGAUCACUUGAAAGGAUAAAUGAUUUAAUUCAUAAUUGACUGCAAGAGUUGUCCAACACUGAUAUUAAACAUGAGGAACAAAGUUUAAA